rnacentral:rRNA from 1 species
CGCAGGGGGGCGGCUACACAUGCAGUCGAGCGAGAACUUCGGUUCUAGCGGCGGACGGGUUAGUAACGCGUGGGAACGUGCCCUUCACUACGGAAUAGUCCCGGGAAACUGGGUUUAAUACCGUAUACGCCCUUCGGGGGAAAGAAUUUCGGUGAAGGAUCGGCCCGCGUUAGAUUAGAUAGUUGGUGGGGUAACGGCCUACCAAGUCUACGAUCUAUAGCUGGUUUUAGAGGAUGAUCAGCAACACUGGGACUGAGACACGGCCCAGACUCCUACGGGAGGCAGCAGUGGGGAAUCUUAGACAAUGGGCGCAAGCCUGAUCUAGCCAUGCCGCGUGAGUGAUGAAGGCCUUAGGGUCGUAAAGCUCUUUCGCCAGGGAUGAUAAUGACAGUACCUGGUAAAGAAACCCCGGCUAACUCCGUGCCAGCAGCCGCGGUAAUACGGAGGGGGUUAGCGUUGUUCGGAAUUACUGGGCGUAAAGCGCGCGUAGGCGGAUUGGAAAGUUGGGGGUGAAAUCCCAGGGCUCAACCCUGGAACUGCCUCCAAAACUAUCAGUCUAGAGUUCGAGAGAGGUGAGUGGAACUCCGAGUGUAGAGGUGAAAUUCGUAGAUAUUCGGAAGAACACCAGUGGCGAAGGCGGCUCACUGGCUCGAUACUGACGCUGAGGUGCGAAAGUGUGGGGAGCAAACAGGAUUAGAUACCCUGGUAGU